rnacentral:tRNA from 1 species
GGAGCUGUAGCUCAGUUGGUUAGAGCGCUUGCCUGUCACGUAAGAGGCCGCGGGUUCGAGUCCCGUCAGUUCCGC